rnacentral:tRNA from 1 species
CUCCGCAUAGCUCAGCUUGGUAGAGCGCCUGGUUUGGGACCAGGAGGUCGAAUGUUCGAGUCAUUCUGUGGAGA